rnacentral:rRNA from 1 species
GAAAGAUGGUUUUGCUAUCACUUAUAGAUGGACCCGCGCCGUAUUAGCUAGUUGGUAAGGUAACGGCUUACCAAGGCGACGAUACGUAGCCGACCUGAGAGGGUGAUCGGCCACACUGGAACUGAGACACGGUCCAGACUCCUACGGGAGGCAGCAGUAGGGAAUCUUCCGCAAUGGGCGAAAGCCUGACGGAGCAACGCCGCGUGAGUGAUGAAGGGUUUCGGCUCGUAAAACUCUGUUAUUAGGGAAGAACAAAUGUGUAAGUAACUGUGCACGUCUUGACGGUACCUAAUCAGAAAGCCACGGCUAACUACGUGCCAGCAGCCGCGGUAAUACGUAGGUGGCAAGCGUUAUCCGGAAUUAUUGGGCGUAAAGCGCGCGUAGGCGGUUUCUUAAGUCUGAUGUGAAAGCCCACGGCUCAACCGUGGAGGGUCAUUGGAAACUGGGAAACUUGAGUGCAGAAGAGGAAAGUGGAAUUCCAUGUGUAGCGGUGAAAUGCGCAGAGAUAUGGAGGAACACCAGUGGCGAAGGCGACUUUCUGGUCUGUAACUGACGCUGAUGUGCGAAAGCGUGGGGAUCAAACAGGAUUAGAUACCCUGGUAGUCCACGCCGUAAACGAUGAGUGCUAAGUGUUAGGGGGUUUCCGCCCCUUA